UACGUAGGGGGCAAGCGUUAUCCGGAUUUACUGGGUGUAAAGGGAGCGUAGACGGCAGGGCAAGUCCGAUGUGAAAACCCGGGGCUCAACCGCGGGAUUGCAUUGGAAACUGCUCGGCUCGAGUACUGGAGGGGUAAGCGGAAUUCCUAGUGUAGCGGUGAAAUGCGUAGAUAUUAGGAGGAACACCAGUGGCGAAGGCGACUUACUGGGCCGUAACUGACGCUGAGGCGCGAAAGCGUGGUGAGCGAACAGGAUUAGAUACCCCUGUAGUCCCUGAG
rnacentral:rRNA from 1 species